rnacentral:rRNA from 1 species
AUUGAACGCUGGCGGCAGGCCUAACACAUGCAAGUCGAGCGGAUGAAGGGAGCUUGCUCCUGGAUUCAGCGGCGGACGGGUGAGUAAUGCCUAGGAAUCUGCCUUGUAGUGGGGGAUAACGUCCGGAAACGGGCGCUAAUACCGCAUACGUCCUGAGGGAGAAAGUGGGGGAUCUUCGGACCUCACGCUAUCAGAUGAGCCUAGGUCGGAUUAGCUAGUUGGUUGGGUAAAGGCCUACCAAGGCGACGAUCCGUAACUGGUCUGAGAGGAUGAUCAGUCACACUGGAACUGAGACACGGUCCAGACUCCUACGGGAGGCAGCAGUGGGGAAUAUUGGACAAUGGGCGAAAGCCUGAUCCAGCCAUGCCGCGUGUGUGAAGAAGGUCUUCGGAUUGUAAAGCACUUUAAGUUGGGAGGAAGGGAAGUAAGUUAAUACCUUGCUGUUUUGACGUUACCAACAGAAUAAGCACCGGCUAACUUCGUG